GAGUUUGAUCCUGGCUCAGAUUGAACGCUGGCGGCAUGCCUUACACAUGCAAGUCGAACGGCAGCACGGGAGCUUGCUCCUGGUGGCGAGUGUCGAACGGGUGAGUAAUGCAUCGGAACGUAUCCUGGAGUGGGGGAUAACGUAGCGAAAGUUACGCUAAUACCGCAUAUUCUGUGAGCAGGAAAGCGGGGGACCUUCGGGCCUCGCGCUCUUGGAGCGGCCGAUGUCGGAUUAGCUAGUUGGUGAGGUAAAGGCUCACCAAGGCGACGAUCCGUAGCAGGUCUGAGAGGAUGAUCUGCCACACUGGAACUGAGACACGGUCCAGACUCCUACGGGAGGCAGCAGUGGGAAUUUGGACAAUGGGGGCAACCCUGAUCCAGCCAUGCCGCGUGAGUGAAGAAGGCC
rnacentral:rRNA from 1 species